rnacentral:lncRNA from 1 species
GGGCUGUCCCAUCCUAACCAGUCUCCCGCCCUCUCCCCAUGGGAUGCAGGCCCCACCUGCCCUUGGGUGCUUUGGAAGUCAGGCCAGUCCCAAGGUAUGAGUUGGGGGAUCCAGGCCCAGGACACAGGAGAGGACAGAGGGGUGGGCAGCAAGGGUGAGUCCCAGGACUUGGGGGCCCCUAGGGGCUUCUGACCAUCUGGGGUGCAGGAGAGCAGGUAUUCCCACUGUGUGUGCCUUGUGCACAGAGCCUGCCAUGGCUGCUGGGGGAACAAAGGGGCCAGGGGGCAGGUAGGAGACCACCAGGACCCCACCGUGACACAGAGGCCUUGAUCAGGGGCAGCAAAGACAAGCGGGCUGAGAGGCCAAAGUGGGCAGUGUCGCCUCGCGCCCUCUCCAACAGCACAAUGGUCUUUUUGGCCUUGAUAUUCGGGUCCCGGUAACAGGAAGUUCCCACAGUCUGGCUGCUGGGCUCUCAAGGCGAGUCAAAAGGCCAGGCCUGCAGGGCCCCAGGACAGCGAAUGCUGG